UACGUAGGCAGCGAGCGUUGUUCGGAAUUACUGGGCGUAAAGAGUGUGUAGGCGGUGCUCUAAGUUCGGUGUGAACUCUCCCGGCUUAACUGGGAGGGUGCGCCGGAAACUGGAGUGCUCGAGCGUGGGAGAGGAAAGCGGAAUUCCUGGUGUAGCGGUGAAAUGCGUAGAUAUCAGGAGGAACACCUGCGGUGUAGACGGCUUUCUGGACCAUUGCUGACGCUGAGACACGAAAGCGUGGGUAGCAAACAGG
rnacentral:rRNA from 1 species